GCCCGCUUAGCUCAGUGGUAAGAGCGUGUCUGGAGUACCGACCCCCUAAGAAUACCGUAUCCCAGUAUCCCUAGACCAGUAUCUCUACAUGGCAAGAUCAUCAGUUCGAAUCUGAUAGUGGGUA
rnacentral:tRNA from 1 species